rnacentral:rRNA from 1 species
GUUGAUUCUGCCGGAGGCCACUGCUAUCAGAGUUCGAUUAAGCCAUGCGAGUCGAGAGGUGCAAGACCUCGGCAUACUGCUCAGUAACACGUGGACAACCUACCCUGUGGAAGGGGAUAACCCCGGGAAACUGGGGAUAAUACCCUAUAGACUAUAGAUGCUGGAAUGCUCUGUAGCCGAAAGGUCCGCCGCCACAGGAUGGGUCUGCGGCCGAUUAGGUUGUUGUUGGGGUAACGACCCAACAAGCCUGUAAUCGGUACGGGUUGUGAGAGCAAGAGCCCGGAGAUGGAUUCUGAGACACGAAUCCAGGCCCUACGGGGCGCAGCAGGCGCGAAAACUUUACAAUGCGGGAAACCGUGAUAAGGGAACUCCGAGUGCCCGUAAAAUCGGGCUGUCCACCAGUUUAAAUAACUGGUGAAGAAAGGGCCGGGCAAGACCGGUGCCAGCCGCCGCGGGUAAUACCGGCGGCUCGAGUGGUGGCCACUAUUACUGGGCUUAAAGCGUUCGUAGCUGGUCUGUUAAGUCUCUGGGGAAAUCUGCUGGCUUAACCAACAGGCGUCUCAGGGAUACUGGCAGACUAGGGACCGGGAGAGGUGAGAGGUACUCCAGGGGUAGGAGUGAAAUCCUGUAAUCCUUGGGGGACCACCUGUGGCGAAGGCGCCUCACCAGGACGGCUCCGACAGUGAGGGACGAAAGCUGGGGGAGCAAACCGGAUUAGAUACCCGGGUAGUCCCAGCCGUAAACGAUGUGCGUUAGGUGUAUCGGUGACCACGAGUCACCGAGGUGCCGAAGAGAAAUCGUGAAACGUACCGCCUGGGAAGUACGGUCGCAAGGCUGAAACUUAAAGGAAUUGGCGGGGGAGCACCACAAC